rnacentral:rRNA from 1 species
GAGGAGCGAAAGCGUGGGGAGCGAACAGGAUUAGAUACCCUGGUAGUCCACGCCGUAAACGGUGGGCGCUAGAUGUGGGGACCCUUCCAUGGUUUCUGCGUCGCAGCUAACGCAUUAAGCGCCCCGCCUGGGGAGUACGGUCGCAAGACUAAAACUCAAAGGAAUUGACGGGGGCCCGCACAAGCAGCGGAGCAUGCGGCUUAAUUCGAUGCAACGCGAAGAACCUUACCUAGACUUGACAUAUACGGAAAACAUGCAGAGAUGUAUGGUCCUAACGGGCCGUUUACAGGUGGUGCAUGGUUGUCGUCAGCUCGUGUCGUGAGAUGUUGGGUUAAGUCCCGCAACGAGCGCAACCCUCGUUCUAUGUUGCCAGCACGUAAUGGUGGGGACUCAUAGGAGACUGCCGGGGUCAACUCGGAGGAAGGUGGGGAUGACGUCAAAUCAUCAUGCCCCUUAUGUCUAGGGCUGCACGCAUGCUACAAUGGCUGGUACAAAGGGCUGCGAUACCGCAAGGUGGAGCGAAUCCCAAAAAGCCAGUCUCAGUUCGGAUUGGGGUCUGCAACUCGACCCCAUGAAGUUGGAGUUGCUAGUAAUCGCAGAUCAGCAACGCUGCGGUGAAUACGUUCCCGGGCCUUGUACACACCGCCCGUCACGUCACGAAAGUCGGUAACACCCGAAGCCGGUGGCCUAACCGUAA